CAACACAGAACAAAACCAUGACCAAAGGGAUGAAAGACAAAUCACAAAAUGCUAGGCUGCAACCAAUCAAAAACAGAGAUUUGCGGAGAAGUGAACACUCCCAGGAGUUAACAAAUCAUGGUCUACAGUAAUCAACGCAGGUUUGAACUAUUUUCUGCAACAAAGAAUCUCUUUCGGAAUUGGACGGCCUUCAUACAAAUCCUGAUUUUACCAUUUUUUUGUGUAUGGCCUUGGGCAAUUAUCUAACCCAACUGAAUCUUGGCUGUCUCUUUUGUGAAAUGUUCACCUCAGAAAGAUGUAAAAAUAAAAUUCUUUUAAGUUAUAUGUGAAGUGUUGAGCCCAUUGCCUGACACAUACUAUACUCUUAACAGUACUAGUUAGAUCCUGUUUCACG
rnacentral:lncRNA from 1 species